CGACGGGGAGGUUUGGCACCUCGAUGUCGGCUCAUCACAUCCUGGGGCUGUAGCAGGUCCCAAGGGUAUGGCUGUUCGCCAUUUAAAGUGGUACGCGAGCUGGGUUCAGAACGUCGUGAGACAGUUCGGUCCCUAUCUGCCGUGGGCGUUAGAAACUUGAGGGUGAGUUGCUCCUAGUACGAGAGGACCGGAGUGAACGUACCUCAGGUGUUCCGGUUGUCACGCCAGUGGCAUUGCCGGGUAGCUAUGUACGGACGGGAUAACCGCUGAAAGCAUCUAAGCGGGAAGCCCCCCCCAAGAUAAGGUUUCUCUGGGAACUUGAUUCCCCUGAAGGGCCGUCGAAGACUACGACGUUGAUAGGCUGGGUGUGGAAGCGCUGUAAGGCGUGUAGCUAACCAGUACUAAUUGCCCGUGAGGCUUGACCAU
rnacentral:rRNA from 1 species